rnacentral:rRNA from 1 species
GUACGUUAGCGACAGAAGAAGCACCGGCUAACUCCGUGCCAGCAGCCGCGGUAAUACGGAGGGUGCGAGCGUUAAUCGGAAUUACUGGGCGUAAAGCGCAUGCAGGUGGUUGUUAAGUCAGAUGUGAAAGACCCGGGCGUCAACCUACGGAAUAGCAUUUAGAAACUGGCAGACUAGAGUACUGUAGAGGGGGGUAGGAAUUUCAGGUGUAGCGGUGAAAUGCGUAGAGAUCUGAAGGAAUACCGGUGGCGAAGGCGGCCCCCUGGACAGAUACUGACACUCAGAUGCGAAAGCGUGGGGAGCAAACAGGAUUAGAUACCCUGGUAG